rnacentral:rRNA from 1 species
UACGUAGGGGGCAAGCGUUGUCCGGAAUUAUUGGGCGUAAAGAGCGCGUAGGCGGUCCGAUAAGUCGGCUGUGAAAGUCAAGGGCUCAACCCUUGAAAGCCGGCCGAUACUGUCGGACUAGAGUCCGGAAGAGGCGAGUGGAAUUCCCGGUGUAGCGGUGAAAUGCGCAGAUAUCGGGAGGAACACCUGAGGUGAAGACGGGUUGCUGGGCUGACACUGACGCUGAGGCGCGAAAGCCAGGGGAGCAAACGGG